AUAAUAGUGAAUUGAUUGCUUCCUGGCGCUGUGAGUAAAUAUCAAAAAUUCAAGUUAGUGAAAUAACUUUUUCGCUGCACAAUUUUUGUCAACCACACACAAUCUAAUCACAUUUUUGUCGAGUUUUUGGAUAUAAAUUUAACAGGGGGUCCACCGUAACCAGUUAGACAAUUAGAAAGUGAUCUAUAAGAUAUAAAAGUUUGGGAACCUCUGGGUUAGACGCUAUCCUAUAGCUUGGUGGGAUUCUCCCACCAAGCAAUAGGAUAACCGGCCGAUAUAUAUAUAGAGGAAUACACAAUCCGGUUUUCCAUUUUACAAUCAGUAUUCAGUAGUGAAGUGAACGUCAAGCAAGCAUCAUGUCUUCAGACAACCUCUUUGAUGAACUAGCCGAGAUGUUUUCAGAUACGGAGGAGUUCAGUGCUUCUUCGGCAUCUUCAUCCGAAGAUGACGAAGAGCCGGCACCUGCCCAAGGCAGCAGCCACGCAGAGGCUGAAGAAUGGACAGCAACGGGAUCUCUGCAGACGUUCCCGUUCAGUGGUGUUGGCCAUUUCAGCAUUGGUCCAGCUGAGUCCCCUAUAGAUUUUUUCAAUUUAAUAUUUAGCUCCACAUUUAUGUCCAUGUUAGUAUCAAGCGUAAACACUCAUGGUUUACGCCUGAUGUUAGAAAGUACAGGCCCCCAUAGUAGGUCUUUAAAAUGGAACAACACCAACGAAGACGAAAUGCGUAUUUUUUUGGCGUUACUUUUCCAUAUGGGCCAUAUAUCAGUAAGUAGGCUCAAUUAUUAUUGGAGUACAGAUAAAUUAUUUAAUUUGCCUUUUAAACUAUUCAUGUCCCGGGACCGAUUUCUGUUAAUACUUCGAAACCUAACUUUUUCCGAUAGUAAUUCAUACAGUGACACUGACCCUAAUAGAUAUUGCAAACCAAUAAUAGAUUUUUUUAACUCACUUAUGAAAACUUUAGUCAAUCCACCAAAAAAUUUAACAAUUGACGAGAGUGUUGUACUGUGGCGAGGACGAUUAAGAAUUAGACAAUUUAUUAAAGGCAAAAGGCAUAAAUAUGGAGUUAAAUUAUAUGUACUUACAGAUACAAAUGGCAUAACGCAGAAAAUGCAUAUGUAUUGUGGAUCAGAUGAUGCUUUACUUAAAGGCAAAGGCCAUGCUGAUAAAGUAGUAAUGAUGCUUAUGGAAGAUUACCUAAACACAGGGCGCUCUCUCUAUACAGACAACUUUUAUAAUAGUGUGACACUAGCAGAAAAGUUGUUGCAACAACGUACAUAUUUAACAGGCACGCUUAGAGCUAAUCGAGCAAGGAAUCCAGGGAUAACUAAGUCGAAGAUCGCUAGAGGUACAUUGCUUACUAGAUAUAAUGCACGUGGUGUAUGCGUCACCAAUUAUAGGGAUAAAAGGAAUGUACUGAUGAUUUCGACUGAACAUCACUCUGAUUUCGUUCAAUCUAGUAACAGUCAUGGUCAGGUUAAACUGAAACCAAAAGUUAUAGUAGAAUACAACAAAUAUAUGAAUGGUGUUGAUCUAAAAGAUCAAAUGCUAUCAUAUUAUCAGUCAUAUAAGAAGUCAACCAGAUGGUAUAAAAAAAUAGUAAUACACGUAAUGCAAGUAAUGCUCCUGAACUGUUUCAAGAUGUUCAAUGAACAAAAGAAACGGUCAGGUGACAAUAGUAGAUCCAUGUCAUUUUUCGAUUUCCGGCUAAAUGUAGUAAAAAUGUUAUUAAAAAAGUUUGACACACCGACUGACAGACUAACUGAGACUGAGGUAUCCAAUAGACCUUCUACUUCGUCAUCGCAACGCGUCCAUACAAUAGCUUACUUGCCUAAAAAUGAUAAAAACAAAACCAAAAGAAAAGACUGUGCGCACUGCUUAAAAAAGCGAAAAGUUCGCAAAGCAACGUUAUUUUAUUGUCCCUUAUGCAUUAAAAAACCUGGGUUAUGUAUACCUUGCUUUGGUGAAUUUCACAGGUAUUAAAUUUUUCUUGCCAACAUGGCAUUAUACUUUCAAUAUUUUUUUUGCACAAUUCCACAAUAAAGGAACUCUUUUGGUUCAGUUGUAGUUGCCUAUUUUUUAUUGCUUUGCUUUGCGUGUAAUAUUAUUUGAGAAUCAGAAUAAGCAGUUGUUUUUUUUUUAUAUUAAUUUUGUGUAAAGCAUUUUCUAAAUUAUAUCAAUGUAUAUGUCACACAGAAACCACUGAAUCGAUAAACACAGAAGGGUUGUGCAGUGUGAUACGGAUACUAUUUUAUAAGCAUCUCAUAUGAGUUCUCCUUUAUGUCUUUGUAUUAUAUAUAUUAUUUUAUUUAUUGCAUGCUAACUGUAAAUCUUUUUCCUAUUUCACUGCAUGCAUUUUAUUUCUAAUUUUACCUAGUUGAUUACAUAAUUUUAAUGCAUGCAAACUCAUUUAGAUUGUUUUGGAUCUGAUCUAUUUUGAAUUUAUGCCCAAGCAUAACUUGGAGAUGGAUUCAUUUUAAUUUAUCGUUUUUAUUCAUUAUUAAUUUUGCUGGAUAGUGGUGGAGAUUUGCAUAGUCAGGAAGACGGCAAUCACAGGAAGGCGCGGAGGUGGGGCGCAUUUCACCCCUUUGGGGUCCACAUUGUUAGGGUUCCUUAGACCCAUAGUGACAGUCACAAACCGUCUAGGUGGAAAGGACUCAUCAAUACAAAUAAUCAAACCCAAUCAUAAGGUAGCAACCGUUGAAGAGACGAUGGAAUCGUCUGUGUUUCAGCUUCAUCGUCAGAUCGACUCCAGACCUUCAUCAAAUUGUAGUGAUUUAAAGUGCUUUAUGAAAAUAUUAACAAACGCUAUAGUCGCGCUUACGAUUUUUGAAAGUUCAUCUAGAUUUCUCAAAGAUCCCAUGAAAAAAUGGGACCACCUCGGUAAUAAUACCCAUGCAAACCAAAAAAAAAUAUUCAAAUCGGUCAUAUAUACAACAGUUACAUACAUAAAAAAACAUUUUUUGAUUUUGAUUUUUUGACCUGAUUUUGUGAAGUCUGUUAAAAAAAAUGUCGGCAAGUUAGAUAUUACAACAAUUGAAAAAAAAAUAACAAAACAAACAAAAAAUAACAAACUAAAAAAAAAUAUUUGAAACAAAUGUAUUUUCUUUCUAAUUCCUAUUGACUUUGUACACGGAGCAUAAAAAAUAGGUAAACCAUACCGCUUCUGUACCUACCAAUAAAUUGCUCAGUAAUAAAUUGUUAUUGUUUACCUAUUUAUUACGCUAUUGUUUUUUUUACACAUUAGUUCCCGCCAGUUUACCGACAAAAGGGCGGCAGCCGUCCGGGCUAUGCCUUCAAAUUGCCCCGUCGUAAUAUUACAACAAAUAUUUUUUCGUAAUAAUAUGUUAUAUAAUAGUUGGUGGCCUUGAAAAUUCUCUGAAAUGUUAUAUCCAUGCUUUAAUUUACGCAGUUAGUUACGAUAGAACUUGAAGCCGCCACAAAAAAUACAUGAAAAAUAAAUGAAUCUAAUGUCAAUGUCAAUUGAAAAAUUUUAUCAUCUGUUGUGCCGUUUGCGAUCUUUUCUUUCCCUGUCGGUGUCAACGACGACGAGCGUCUGCGCAAAUUUUGCAAUGAGGUAAGUACAUGUUUUAUUGAUUAAUUCUUUUAUCCAUUUGACUCCUAAAUGGACGACUUCUCGUAACGGACGACAAUACGCGUAAUACAAUACGCGACCGGUUGCGGUGCGGUCGCGUAUCGUAUGCGUUCGUAUCCGUUACGCGACAUGUAAAAAAAUAAAACGCAAUAAACGCAGAGCACACAUUAUCGCAGAGCACACAUUAUCAUACUCUGCGCGAUAGAGGAAUAUAAAGAUUUUUUAAAUCGGUUCAGUUAUUAAACUGUGAUGAAUGUCAUAAAAUGUUUUAUUUUUUCAGUGAAGCAUCGCAACAGAGGACCACCACCCCGGUGGGGCAGAAACGCCCCGGAUCCCCGGGGGAUCAAUCCAAGCCUUCAGGCCAAAAGGCCAAAAGGCCAAAAAGGACAUCUGUAGACCGGGAGCCGGAGCCGACUCCCUCAACUUCCGCAGCUGCUGAUGCUGCUGAUGCGGCAGAGGCUGCUGCGGCAGCUUUACAAGCAGAGCUAUGGCUGUCAAGCCCUGAGGGGAGUCCGGCGCCCUCUACCGUUGCAAUGGGCUCAUCACCAAGGUCCCAUGACCUUGUUGAUGAGCCCAAUAAUGACUGGGGGGUCAUGGACAACUCCGAAGAGGAGUGGGAUGGGGGGCCCGAAUAUUUUUUUUAAAUAUUAUAUUUAUACUUAGUUUAUCUUGGGGUUUUUGUUUUUUCAAGUAUUUUAUUAUUUAUUUUUUAUUUUUAUUUAGUAUAAAUUAUCAAUAAUAUAUAUUCUUUAAUUAUUUAUAUUUAUAUUGUACUUAUAUUUAUUUAUAUUUUUUUAUGUUUGUGUAUAUUUUAUUUUUAUUAUUUUUUCUCGGGGGUUUUGUUUUUUUUAUUUAUUUUUUAUUUGGAUGUACUACAGCCUAUUGUUGUAAUAUUUUAGUAAUAGCUGGUAAUGACUAACUGAAAAUGUGUACUUACCUACUUUUAAAAUUACUUUAUAAUGUUUGACUAUAAUAUAAGUUAACUUGUACUAUUUAAUUGAACUUUAAUAAAUAUUAUUCUCAGUCGUACAUUUUAUAUUUAUGUAAUAAAUUUUUUUUGUGAAUAAUUUUUAAUAACAGAAUAGUUUAAGUAAAAAAUAAUUAAUUUAUAUAAAUAUUACAGUACCUGGAAUUAGAUGUGAUUAUUUUUAUUGAACUGCACUAUACAAUAAUUGUAUAGUUAGUUUUAGAUAAGUUAGUAAAAUGGUGGUAAAGAAAAAAAAAACCUUGGCUGAGUUUGUUGUGGGCUCUUCUCGGGCCAACCCUCCUAACGUCAGUUUAAUUUUUUUUAAUUUACUUACCACCAAUGUAUCAUGACAUAACUUGACAUUUCAGAACUGCUUAUUUACUUGAAAUAAACGAAUUUUAAAUUUUGCAACCUCGAUUUGACUUUUUUUUUCCGUAGAAAUACGGGAUAAAAUGUGCCUCCGUUACUCGCAGAUAAUGUAGCUUUCCACUAAUGAAAGAAUUUUUAAAAUUGGUCCAGUUCUUUGGGAGCCUAUUCGUAAUUUACAAGCAAAAACCAAAUGUUUAGAAAACAAACAUUGUUAAAUUUAUUUUGUAUUUAUUUAUACUUUUUUUAAAUUUCUAAAAUGAUUGUAAAAUACAAUUAUACAAUAAUAACAUUGAUUCAGAACUUAAUUUGCAAUAGACAAGCUUCUUAGGUGUAAUAAUAAAAUCACUAAAUACUUAUAAAAUUAAAUAUAUAUUAUUUAUAACACAAAAAAUAAUAAUAUAACAUAUAAUAUAACAUAAAAUAUACCUACCUCUAGCUAGACACGCUGCGUGUGUGUGAUAGCAGUCUUAGACCAGGCCAGCGCGUGAACACGCGACGCGCGUUUUUAGCAGAACGUACAAGGUUUUUGCUUUGUCGUGACAACAGUGCGAAAAACACAACUGUUGUGUUGGGCUUAGCAUGGUAGGGAUUUUUUUUUGCAUUGUUAGACCAGCAGGGAAAGU